rnacentral:rRNA from 1 species
AGAUUGAACGCUGGCGGCAUGCCUUACACAUGCAAGUCGAACGGCAGCACGGGAGCAAUCCUGGUGGCGAGUGGCGAACGGGUGAGUAAUAUAUCGGAACGUGCCCAGUCGUGGGGGAUAACGCAGCGAAAGCUGUGCUAAUACCGCAUACGAUCUAUGGAUGAAAGGCGGGGGAUCGCAAGACCUCGCGCGAUUGGAGCGGCCGAUAUCAGAUUAGCUAGUUGGUAGGGGUAAAAGCCUAA